UGGGCCCGGAGGCGGCUGGCCUGUUUGUCUAACCCUAACACAGAGUGGCACAGGCGCCGCGCUUUUGUUUCCCCGCGCGCUGUUUUUCUCGCUGACUUUCAGCGCGUGGAAAAAGCCUUGGCCUGCUGCCGUGCACCGUUUCUUUGAGAACAAACAAAAAAUGUCAGCCGCUGGCCAGUUCGCUCCUUCCGGGAACCUGCGGUGGCUAGCCCGCCCGACCCCCGUGCCCGCCUGAGGCCGCGGUCGGUCCGGGGCUUUUCUGAAGUACCCAUUGCCGCCGCGAAGAGUUAGGCUCUGUCAGCCGCGGGUCCCUCGGGGUUUGAGGGCGAGGCACAGGCCGUCUGGACGCAGGGAGAGCAACGGAGCGGGUCCCCGAGUGUGGUGUGCUUCCCUGAGCUGUGGGACUUGCAUCCGGGACUGCUCCAACAAGC
ensembl:misc_RNA Telomerase-vert Vertebrate telomerase RNA